rnacentral:rRNA from 1 species
GGUUAAGCGACUAAGCGUACACGGUGGAUGCCCUGGCAGUCAGAGGCGAUGAAGGACGUGCUAAUCUGCGAAAAGCGUCGGUAAGGUGAUAUGAACCGUUAUAACCGGCGAUGUCCGAAUGGGGAAACCCAGUGCAAUUCGUUGCACUAUCGUUAACUGAAUACAUAGGUUAACGAGGCGAACCGGGGGAACUGAAACAUCUAAGUACCCCGAGGAAAAGAAAUCAACCGAGAUUCCCCCAGUAGCGGCGAGCGAACGGGGAGCAGCCCAGAGUCUGAAUCAGCUUGUGUGUUAGUGGAACGGUCUGGAAAGUCCGACGGUACAGGGUGAUAGUCCCGUACACCAAAAUGCACAGGUUGUGAACUCGAAGAGUAGGGCGGGACACGUGGUAUCCUGUCUGAAUAUGGGGGGACCAUCCUCCAAGGCUAAAUACUCCUGACUGACCGAUAGUGAACCAGUACCGUGAGGGAAAGGCGAAAAGAACCCCGGCGAGGGGAGUGAAAAAGAACCUGAAACCGUGUACGUACAAGCAGUGGGAGCACCUUCGGGUGUGACUGCGUACCUUUUGUAUAAUGGGUCAGCGACUUAUAUUCUGUAGCAAGGUUAACCGUAUAGGGGAGCCGCAGGGAAACCGAGUCUUAACUGGGCGUUAAGUUGCAGGGUAUAGACCCGAAACCCGGUGAUCUAGCCAUGGGCAGGUUGAAGGUUGGGUAACACUAACUGGAGGACCGAACCGACUAAUGUUGAAAAAUUAGCGGAUGACUUGUGGCUGGGGGUGAAAGGCCAAUCAAACCGGGAGAUAGCUGGUUCUCCCCGAAAGCUAUUUAGGUAGCGCCUCGUGAACUCAUCUUCGGGGGUAGAGCACUGUUUCGGCUAGGGGGUCAUCCCGACUUACCAACCCGAUGCAAACUACGAAUACCGAAGAAUGUUAUCACGGGAGACACACGGCGGGUGCUAACGUCCGUCGUGAAGAGGGAAACAACCCAGACCGCCAGCUAAGGUCCCAAAGUCAUGGUUAAGUGGGAAACGAUGUGGGAAGGCACAGACAGCCAGGAUGUUGGCUUAGAAGCAGCCAUCAUUUAAAGAAAGCGUAAUAGCUCACUGGUCGAGUCGGCCUGCGCGGAAGAUGUAACGGGGCUAAACCAUGCACCGAAGCUGCGGCAGCGACACUAUGUGUUGUUGGGUAGGGGAGCGUUCUGUAAGCCUGCGAAGGUGUGCUGUGAGGCAUGCUGGAGGUAUCAGAAGUGCGAAUGCUGACAUAAGUAACGAUAAAGCGGGUGAAAAGCCCGCUCGCCGGAAGACCAAGGGUUCCUGUCCAACGUUAAUCGGGGCAGGGUGAGUCGACCCCUAAGGCGAGGCCGAAAGGCGUAGUCGAUGGGAAACAGGUUAAUAUUCCUGUACUUGGUGUUACUGCGAAGGGGGGACGGAGAAGGCUAUGUUAGCCGGGCGACGGUUGUCCCGGUUUAAGCAUGUAGGCUGGUUAUCCAGGCAAAUCCGGAUAAUCAAGGCUGAGGUGUGAUGACGAGGCACUACGGUGCUGAAGUAACAAAUGCCCUGCUUCCAGGAAAAGCCUCUAAGCAUCAGGUAACAUCAAAUCGUACCCCAAACCGACACAGGUGGUCAGGUAGAGAAUACCAAGGCGCUUGAGAGAACUCGGGUGAAGGAACUAGGCAAAAUGGUGCCGUAACUUCGGGAGAAGGCACGCUGGUGUGUAGGUGAAGUCCCUGCGGAUGGAGCUGAGACCAGUCGAAGAUACCAGCUGGCUGCAACUGUUUAUUAAAAACACAGCACUGUGCAAACACGAAAGUGGACGUAUACGGUGUGACGCCUGCCCGGUGCCGGAAGGUUAAUUGAUGGGGUUAUCCGUAAGGAGAAGCUCUUGAUCGAAGCCCCGGUAAACGGCGGCCGUAACUAUAACGGUCCUAAGGUAGCGAAAUUCCUUGUCGGGUAAGUUCCGACCUGCACGAAUGGCGUAAUGAUGGCCAGGCUGUCUCCACCCGAGACUCAGUGAAAUUGAACUCGCUGUGAAGAUGCAGUGUACCCGCGGCAAGACGGAAAGACCCCGUGAACCUUUACUAUAGCUUGACACUGAACAUUGAGCCUUGAUGUGUAGGAUAGGUGGGAGGCUUUGAAGCGUGGACGCCAGUCUGCGUGGAGCCAACCUUGAAAUACCACCCUUUAAUGUUUGAUGUUCUAACGUUGGCCCCUUACCGGGGUUGCGGACAGUGUCUGGUGGGUAGUUUGACUGGGGCGGUCUCCUCCCAAAGCGUAACGGAGGAGCACGAAGGUUAGCUAAUCCUGGUCGGACAUCAGGAGGUUAGUGCAAUGGCAUAAGCUAGCUUGACUGCGAGCGUGACGGCGCGAGCAGGUGCGAAAGCAGGUCAUAGUGAUCCGGUGGUUCUGAAUGGAAGGGCCAUCGCUCAACGGAUAAAAGGUACUCCGGGGAUAACAGGCUGAUACCGCCCAAGAGUUCAUAUCGACGGCGGUGUUUGGCACCUCGAUGUCGGCUCAUCACAUCCUGGGGCUGAAGUAGGUCCCAAGGGUAUGGCUGUUCGCCAUUUAAAGUGGUACGCGAGCUGGGUUUAGAACGUCGUGAGACAGUUCGGUCCCUAUCUGCCGUGGGCGCUGGAGAAUUGAGGGGGGCUGCUCCUAGUACGAGAGGACCGGAGUGGACGCAUCACUGGUGUUCGGGUUGUCAUGCCAAUGGCACUGCCCGGUAGCUAAAUGCGGAAGAGAUAAGUGCUGAAAGCAUCUAAGCACGAAACUUGCCCCGAGAUGAGUUCUCCCUGAGACUUUAAGUCUCCUGAAGGAACGUUGAAGACGACGACGUUGAUAGGCCGGGUGUGUAAGCGCAGCGAUGCGUUGAGCUAACCGGUACUAAUGAACCGUGAGGCUUAACCUU